UUGUGUUGUUUAGGGUUAUUCUCGUCACUAUAAGGUUUAACACCAAAAAUCUAAAGAAACAACAGAUAUUACUGAUGAGUAUGAGAAAAUGAAUGAACAUAAUUUAAACUGAGUACUCGAACAAUCAGUCGCCAUGGGACAUUCUGGCAAUCUUUCCCGUAUGGUGGAACAUUUUUUUCGUUCUGAAGGAAAAACUUCAGAACUGCACCAACAGGACAGAAAAUCUGAUGCGUUUCCUGUCUCAUUUUAUAAGGUUAUUUUGAACAAUUUUAAUUAACCAUUUAUUACUUAUGGGAUCUCUUCCUCCUGUGGACAGUUUUCCAAACUCUUCUUGUGUUCAGCUGAAAUGGCAGUGAAGUCUGGUGUCUUAGCUCUAUUAUAUUCGCUGUUCUUGAUGUCAGAUGCAGAGUCUUGCCCUAACCAAAAUUUAACAGACUGGGCCGGUUCAUUUCAGCCUUCAAGCUACCCAUCGAAGUACGCACCAAAUUUGGACUGCUAUUGGCUGAUUCAAGUGUCAGAUGGAAAUCUUAUUGAAAUCAACUUUCAAGAUUUUGCGAUGGACGGUGAUACGGUGGAUAAUUGCCCUAAUGACUAUGUGGAGGUUCUGGAAGGUUCUUAUGGAAGCACCGAUUCUAUAAAGCGUGUUUGUGGCGCGAAUCUACCAUUUGAAGAUGAGUAUCGCGUGGUUCGUUCAAAAGGUAGCUCGCUUCUCGUGCACAUGCACACAGACGAUGCCAACCAAAACCGAGGAUUUGCAGCAAACCAUCAAGGUAUUUGUAAAGUGACAUUUUCGACAGUGUCAGGAACCAUCAUGUCUCCAAAUCAUCCUGACAAAUAUCCAAACAGUGUGAUGUGUGAGUGGAUCAUUGAUCUGGGUCCAGGAUAUGAUAUUACUCUGACUUUCCAUAAGUUUAAUUUGGAAAAGAAAGAUGACUGUUCAUGGGAUUGGCUGACGGUACAGGCCGGAAACACUCCAGAUUCCCCGGUAGUAAUUAAAGUGUGUGGUGAUGUACUUCCUCCUGAUAUAAAAACUAGUGGACCAAUGAGGAUCUACUUCCAGACAGACAAUGACAACGAGUUUGAAGGGUUCCACAUGACCUGGGUAGCCGAGGAUCAAAACGAGUGCAAUAAACCUGAAACCUGCCAUUCAAAUGCCACGUGUGCCAACACAGAUGGUUCAUAUCAGUGCACGUGUAUGCUGAGUUACACUGGAGACGGCAAAACCUGUCAGUAUUAUAAAGAUUUUGACGAGUGUGACCUGGAAUAUGACAACUGUCAUGAAGAUGCUUUGUGUGUAAAUACACCGACUCACUUUGAGUGCCAUUGCAAGAAUGGCUUUUUGGGGGAUGGGAUUAACUGUACAGAUAUCGACGAGUGUGAAACUAGUGAAUUGGCUCACAAGCACAACUGUCAUGUCAAUGCUAGCUGUGCAAAUACUCACGGAUCGUUCAACUGCACAUGUGUCUCGGUUUACACAGGAGAUGGAGUGUCCUGUAUAGAUAUCGAUGAAUGUCAAGUAAACACUCAUAACUGCCAUGAGGAUGGUGUAUGCAUUAACACUGACGGCUCUUUCAGAUGCGAAUGUAAAGUAGGCUUUAUCGGAAGUGGAGAGAUCUGUUCAGAUGUAAAUGAAUGCUCUGAAGAAACAGAUAACUGUGACGAUGAUGCCACGUGUACAAAUACCAACGGAUCAUUUGUCUGCACGUGUGAUCAAGGAUAUAGUGGAAAUGGAGUCAAUUGCUCAGAUGUGGACGAAUGCACUCUAAAUCUUCAUGACUGUCACGAAGAUGGAUAUUGCACCAACACCAAGGGUUCUUAUCACUGUACUUGUAACACUGGAUACACAGGCAAUGGAGUAACAUGCACUGGUAAGAGAUGUUUGCAUUCCACAAGAGUUAUCACUGCAUGGUUGUAAACAUGUUUGUUGCAAUAUGGCAUUGUUUAACGCAAAUCAAGCUUUAUAAAGCAAAAGCGGGCUUUGUAAAGCGCUGAUUUGAUCGAAAAAGUAAACAAUGUCCUAUUCAGCAAACAUAAUAUGGAUCAGGAGUUACUCGCACACCCCAUGCCACCGAAAUCAUUUUACAAUUCAUUCAUCCCUCGCUAUCUAACACCAUCUCAGUUUGAACAGGAUUUAGCAUCAAGCUCCAAUUAAAGGUAAGCGAGUUUAUUUGCUUCAAUUUUACGUGUUUACUUUCGGUAUAUUCCUGCGCUAAUCGGUAAAAAACAUAUUCCUUGUGCAAGUUUUGCAGCGUAGUUUUGCACUUUUGAGAGGUUCCUGUGUCUGUAUCACGGCGGUGGGGAAGAUCAAGCGAAUGACGUGAAGGAACGAACAAGGAAGCCACUUACAGGGUUAGCAGGAUGUUAUGAAAGUACUGACGAGUAACGAUGUUUACUGACUUAGUCCUCUUCGUUCCUAGUGGAACAUAGGUCUUCGACCAGCUCUCGCCACCUGACCCUGUUUUGUGCAGUAUCUUUCGCCUCAUGCCUAGGAAGCCGUAUCUCCUCCAACUCUGCCAUUCUCGUGCGCCUGGAGGUGGGGUCCUGCUCUCUGUCGCUUCCCCGUUGGGUUCCAAUGUAAUCCAUUCUUGGCUACAUGUACGUGUCUGUUUGCCUUCUCUGCCUGUAGCCAAUCCAACGCCAAGCUGAGCAGUAAUGAUAGUCAGCGUUAAAUAUUAUCCUGUAGAAGCAAAUCCAGAGCUGCUCAAAAAGAGGUGGAGGCGAAGUAAAAUUCUUAGCCGUUAAAAGAAGGCCUUGCCUUGCAAACUCACACAGUGGGAAAGAUGAUUUUCAACCCAUCCAGGCACACAGGUUCCCGGUUCCCACCCCCCUUCCCUAGUCAGAGCAUUCAAAUUCAACUAUGCACAAAUCACAUUUCUUUUUCGUUCAAGUGGUCCUGAAAUGAGUUUAAAUGAAAAACUGCCAACAUUGUUUUGUACAACUUAAAACAGCCAAAUGGUAUUUCGUCUGAAAAGGGAUAAAUAGCUCUAACUUUUUACAAGUUAGGUAAAUAACGCUUAAUGUAUUUCUUUCUAUUCCUCUUUAGGUCAUUGACUGAGAAAAUAUCAGACAAAAGUAAAAGUGGCAUAAACGGUUAAUCGUUCGUUUUGCCACCAUGCAUACCGAGUGUGUCGAUAAAGUAGGUAUUAACUUUGGUUGCAAGAAACGAGUCUUAGAGAAUUUACAAUAUAUUCAUAUAUCUUCUACACAGUCAUAUCCAAGCAAACCUAUUUAGACAACUGAAAUAGUGCUCUAAGACGAGUUCCGUUUCUUGUUUACUGGAGGAGGGGAUAUAAUGUAUAGUUUAACAUCUGAAGCAUCCCGAUUUAGCAAAUUAACGUGGUUUAUUGGCUGGAAAUGUAAAAAAGUUUAAUUUGCAAGGAAUGUUCCCUGCAUGAGUCAUAUUAUUCUUUAUGUAAGGUAAUUGUUAAAGACAAUUGUUCUCUUACCUGCUUGCAGGGUGAACACUACACUGUAGUUAAAUACGCUUCGUUAAGAUUUCUAAACAGAGUCCAAGAAGCAACUUACGUCAUGAUGGCUGUCGAAAUUCUUUUGAUCCAUCAAGAGUUCAUUAACUGUCUCAAAGUCUUACAACUUACAUAAAUCCAUAGCGUAAAGGUUUUAGAUACUUCCUGACUUGUUCAUCUGCAUUCAUAAGGCUCUCUUGUAUGCAUGUGCCUGAGUUGUCGUCCUGUCAGACUUUUGAAGCUAGAUGGUGAUAUUAAAAAUACCUGGAAUAUAAGCAAAGGGUUGAAGAUUCAAACUAGUCUUUUUCAGAACCAUCCGAGGGUAAAUAUACUCCCGGUAAAUAUUUUCUCAUUUCAGCCCUUGGUUAAGAGGAGAGUAUAGAGAAGUAGCAAAACCGACUUAGAGGUACUAAAACCCAUACUUUUUUUGAAAGCUGUUUACGAUUAUCACUGUUUUUCUUUUUUAUAUAUCGCUUUUUCUUAAGUAUUCAAGAGUAUGGCACAAAUCAUUUUUUUUAUAGAUGUCGGCUAACACAUGCUGCUACAACAGAGGAAGUUCUCCUACCCAAGACGCAACGUCAUCAAUUACUCCCACUAUGCAGUUAUUUGUAUAUAGAGGAAUGUUCAACGAACAAGGACAACUGCCAUGUUGAUGCAAACUGCACCAAUACCAAGGGAUCAUUCUUCUGUACUUGUCAUACGGGCUACACCGGUGAUGGAGUCACUUGUGCUGAUAUCGAGGAAUGUACAACAGAUACCCAUAACUGCCACGCUGACGCUAACUGCACCAAUUCCAAAGGAUCUUUCUACUGCACAUGUCGCACGGGAUAUUCUGGAGAUGGCGUCACUUGUGUUGGUAAAACAACUGUUUCUUAAAUUGAAAUAUUACAAAGCAUUAGUGACGCAUUUAUUUCUGUAGUAAUUGUGUUCAUCGGUUCAAAAUCAUGAAGGAUUGUUUUGGUACCGUGAACGUACUUCUGGAUUUAAUUUUUAUUCAUUUUUGUUUUUAUACUUGGUACUUCAGAAAUAAAGGAAAUCCAGAAUCUUCCUUAAAUUUUUGAGACCAAAACUCAAAGUGGGAAUACUACCAAAUCAAAUAUCCACAAGUACGUGUACGUACAGCUUUAGUUAUUUUAUUAUCACGAAAGUCGUA